GCGGGGAUAGCUCAGUUGGGAGAGCGUCAGACUGAAGUAGCACUUCAUUCACACGUCUGGAAUCUGAAGGUCGUGCGUUCGAUCCGCACUCACCGCA